AGAUCAGAGAAGAGUGCAUGUGCGUUCAGAUACUUGCUUGAGUAAGAGUCCAUGUUUCCUUUGAUCGAUACUCCAAAGAUUUAGCCUACAUAUUUAUUUGUAAAAAUGAGGUCAAUAGAAGGAUAUGUCAUGCGCUAUUAGUGAAGUUGUGUGCUGGAAUGGUAUGGUUUCUAAGCCAAGGUUUAGUAUAUGGAAUUGCCUCUAAAGUUAGCAUUGAUUUGAUGUGGCUUGCAACAUUGCAUAUGCGAAGGUAAUAGUUAAAAGAUAUGUGAGUCCUUGCGAUUUCUAACCUCUUUCACAAGACUAUUCUUUAUGUUAUGUUUGAAGACUGUUUAGAGUUUUUUCAGAUCCAGACAUAUUUUGGAGUAAUGUGAAGAGAAACCUUCAGGUACAAAUUGGCAAUGAUCUAGUUCCAGUUGACUUUCAUAUUAUGGAUAUUCAGAUAGACUAAAAUUCUUCUCUUUUACUUGGGAGAGCCUUCAUGGCUACUGUAUGUGUUGUUUGCGACAUGAAAAUGAAUAAACUGUGCCUGACACUCAUAGAUAAGAAUAUUUUCUAUGACCAUGUUUGACUGAACAAGGAGCACACCUCCUACAUUGAAAUGGGUGAUGACCCGUGAUUCGUGGAAGCUAUUUAUUCUGAUUCUGGUAAGGAGAAUGAAGAUGAUUAUGAGGUGCCGAUCAACACCUAACCAGCAUCGGUCUACACUCAUGCGAUUCCAGAGUUUCAAAAAGCUUUUACAGUUGAAGCCGCCACCCCUCCUAAAAUCAAGAUACGUGUAGCAGAACCAGAUUAGUUUGAUGUUUAUAGAGAUGAAGAAGGCAAUACACAUGCUAAGGAUGAAAUGAUCAUCAAUGUGCCAAGAGAAGAUAUAGAAGCAAUACUUGAGAUGGCAGAUAGUGUCGUAGGUCAUUAUCUGAGUUUACCGCAGAAUGAAGGAUGGUUUCAAAUGCCUAGAUUUGCGGUACGAAUUCACCAACUGCUACCAAAAGUGUUAAAAUCGAAUCACAACUCUAUCGUAGCUUUAAAUUUGCGCUACGAUAAAAAUUAAUUAAAAGGACUCCAAAACAUAAUAAAUAACUUCAUAAUAAAAAAAGUCUAGCUUUAUCUCCAAAAUGCUUCAGAAUCCCCACAUAUCUCCAAAAGACUCCUAAACCUGUAAAUACUCUCAAAAGUCUCCAAAACAUAAUAAAUAACUUCUAAAACACAUAUAUACUAUGGCUAAAAACUGGUAAAAUCCAUGGUACAUCAAUGGUGUACUGAAUGAAAACACCAAAGUGGAUCACCUGUCAGUAACAUCCACAUUUGCUGAGAAUGUAUGAAGGAACCGAAGCUGACUUCCAACCUUAAUCAACAUCAACCGCUUGUUUUGGGGUUGGUAUACAUUGGAUCAGAUUCUUCAUGCAUGUUUAGAAGGUAAAAGUCUGUGUGUUUCUGGUUUCCUUCUCACCUCUCUUCAGCAUCUAAGGAAAGAAAAUAUUGAGAUUAUUUCCUGAGACUUAGAGGGAUAGAAAAACUUUAUACGACCUAAUUAUUCUACUUCAAUGGACUAAUUACACAAAAUUGGAAGCGAGGCGUAGGAAAUUUCCUAUGGCCCCAUUAUUCGCCUAUACUUUCCAGAGCUGAAAAAGUAGAAAUAAACAAAAAAUUCAAAGAAGAGAGAAGAGUGAGUAAGAGAUCAGAGAAGAGUGCAUGUGCGUUCAGAUACUUGCUUGAGUAAGAGUCCAUGUUUCCUUUGAUCGAUACUCCAAAGAUUUAGCCUACAUAUUUAUUUGUAAAAAUGAGGUCAAUAGAAGGAUAUGUCAUGCGCUAUUAGUGAAGUUGUGUGCUGGAAUGGUAUGGUUUCUAAGCCAAGGUUUAGUAUAUGGAAUUGCCUCUAAAGUUAGCAUUGAUUUGAUGUGGCUUGCAACAUUGCAUAUGCGAAGGUAAUAGUUAAAAGAUAUGUGAGUCCUUGCGAUUUCUAACCUCUUUCACAAGACUAUUCUUUAUGUUAUGUUUGAAGACUGUUUAGAGUUUUUUCAGAUCCAGACAUAUUUUGGAGUAAUGUGAAGAUUAUGGAGCAUUUUAGAGCUUAUGGAUGAGGAAACUCGUAGCUGCUCAAGAAAGAGGAAGUCAGAGCCAAG
rnacentral:lncRNA from 1 species